UGCAGUGUUUAUUCUUGUCUCAUGUCGAAAUACAACAGUCUUAUAGGAAAUAUUAUGACAGUCCAUUCCAACUGUUUUCAGACACAUGCAUAAACAGUCUCUGCUCACAUUCCACAGCCACCUGCAUGUUAUCCAUACAGCUCCCUGAGAAGUCCAGGGAUAGGAGGCGGGGUGUGGCAGGAUGGAGGGUCCUUCAUUUUCUAAACACUUUGUAUAAGUCACUACUCAUCGUGCCUAGCAAGUAUAAGAUUAACAUUUUGAAUAACAAACUGGAAAACAAAUAAUCCUCUGAAGAACCUAGUGAACUGUUCAAAGGAAAUUUUGAUUUCAGUCUACCAGAAAAGUUAAAUCUGUUGUUGGACAUAGGAGGUUUUCAGAAACAUGCCUCUUUUAUCAAUUUCCACUAUCUUUCAAGUUACCUAAAGGCACCAGGCUGCUUGAGCAAGAAGAAUAAAAGGCCUAGAGUGCAAAUUAUGUGAAGUAGAGCUUUUAGAUUGUGGGAUUGUAAUAAUAUGGGAUGCUCAUGGUCGCAUCAUGUUAAAUCACACCGUUUAGUCUUCAAAACUUGGUGUUUUAAAAUGUGUCUCAUUGUGAUAGCCAGAAACAAGGAAUAAACGUGAUUUCAGUUUAAACUAUAUACAAAUAUCUUCUGUAAUUUUGCUGCUCUAAUUUUUAGGCUAUAAAUUUUGUAAUAGAGCUUAUCAGAUUGCGAAUUUCCUUUGUUUACAAUCUCAUGUAGUAGGGCUCAGAUAAUUUCUUAGCUAUAGCUAUAAACCUUUUCUCCCACUCUCAUAUUAAGUUUCAUUUAAAAUAUUUAAGCUAAGCCUAAAAAUUGAAAUCAGUUAAGAAUUUGGAGAGUUUAUCUUAAAUGGAAAUGGUGUAUUCUUUUCAAAGAAUUUUGUAACCGUCUUUACAGUUUCUUUGCUUGGAAAACUUGGGUUGUUAACUAUCAGUUAACAGUUGCAUUACUUUCCAAAACAUUAUCUAAUGGGCCCAAUGUGUACCUCAAGAUAAACACAGUAUGUUAUGUCUAAAAAUUUCAUUGUCUGUUGAUUUAAAUGGUUCUGAAAUGUCUCUAAUAAAGAAAUUUUCAAAGUUGC
rnacentral:lncRNA from 1 species